rnacentral:lncRNA from 1 species
UGUCACUUUACUCUGUGUUCCCCUUGGUGGCAGGAGUAGCCAUGCGGUAGAAGAAUACCAAUCUCAGCUCUCUGCAGUGUGCUGGAUAUUGUGUUUGCUCCUCCAGCUCCACUUUUGGUGCUUCUCUGCCCAGCUCAGACUUCCAGUAGGGUGGGCAAACAGGAGGCACUUGCAGGCGAUCAGAAGGUGGGAAGAGAUUCAUGUUUUAAAAAAGUGACAUUGCUUUAUUACUGUUGGCAGGUGGGGCCUGCACCACUUGCCAGAACGGUCUGUGACUUUCCAGUUACUUUUCAGGGCCUCUCCUUGUGUUUUGGUGGGUGUGUCUAGAGGAAGAGAGGAAAGCAAAUGCCCUUUUAGAGCAAGUUGCCUUUUAAACUGCAAACUUGAAACAAAUAAAGCAGGUUGAAGAUCACAGUGUAAUAGCACUUUAUAGGGUCACAACUCCCUGCUCCACUUCAUGGGGGCUUUGGGAGUUAGAGCCCCCUCAGGGUAAGGUGGUUUCAGCUACACUAGGCCUUUUUAGCUUAGGAUACUUUUAAUAUACAAUAGGAUGAGCCCUUUUAUUGACACCUUUCCCCAAAUUGUCCCGACUACUCUUGCCUAUGUAGUCUUCCUGAUAACAUGCCUCCCUGGCAGGCAGUGUCUCCACUUUUUACAAAUUUGCCUGAGACCAUUCCUCAGGUCAUUCAGGGGGUCAUGGCCCAGCCAGGCUUUGAACCUGGGCUGUGUGAUUCCACAGCUGGUGCUCUGGCCUGUGUGCCUCAUGAUCAUGGAUACAGCAUCUAUUCUUAUUUUUUCCUGUAGUCCUGGGGUACUUAGCACCAUGGCAUAUCUAUAAUAAGCACAUGCACACCUCGAAGGAGGUCUUCACUUCAACAUACAAGUUGACCAUGGCAUGCUCUGGGCUCCAGUCCUCUACAAAAAUGUAGGGCAGGAACUACCAGUUGUCAGCACAGCACCAUCCCACAUUGCUCUUCUAAUGGAGCCUUUCACCCCAGAUGUUCUUUCUUGUUUGAUGGGAAGGAUCCAAGUAUGUAAAGAUUAAGUUCUAGAUCAGCUUUGGUCUGUCCUAAAAGAAAUUUGCCAGUGGAUUAUUCCAUAUGGAUAAAAGUCAGUUUCUCUGGUCU